rnacentral:rRNA from 1 species
GAUGAACGCUAGCUACAGGCUUAACACAUGCAAGUCGAGGGGCAGCAUGAACUUAGCUUGCUAAGUUUGAUGGCGACCGGCGCACGGGUGAGUAACACGUAUCCAACCUGCCGAUGACUCGGGGAUAGCCUUUCGAAAGAAAGAUUAAUACCCGAUGGCAUAGUUCUUCCGCAUGGUAGAACUAUUAAAGAACUUCGGUCAUCGAUGGGGAUGCGUUCCAUUAGGUUGUUGGCGGGGUAACGGCCCACCAAGCCUUCGAUGGAUAGGGGUUCUGAGAGGAAGGUCCCCCACAUUGGAACUGAGACACGGUCCAAACUCCUACGGGAGGCAGCAGUGAGGAAUAUUGGUCAAUGGACGAGAGUCUGAACCAGCCAAGUAGCGUGAAGGAUGACUGCCCUAUGGGUUGUAAACUUCUUUUAUACGGGAAUAAAGUGAGGCACGUGUGCCUUUUUGUAUGUACCGUAUGAAUAAGGAUCGGCUAACUCCGUG